rnacentral:rRNA from 1 species
CCUACGGGUGUCAGCAGUGGGGAAUAUUGCACAAUGGGCGAAAGCCUGAUGCAGCAACGCCGCGUGAGCGAUGAAGGCCUUCGGGUCGUAAAGCUCUUUCCUCAAGGAAGAUAAUGACGGUACUUGAGGAGGAAGCCCUGGCUAAUUACGUGCCAGCAGCCGCGGUACUAUGUAGGGGGCUACCGUAAUCCGGAAUUACUGGGCGUAAAGGGUGCGUAGGUGGUUUCUUAAGUCAGAGGUAAAGUGGUACGGUUCAACCGUAGUAAGCCUUUGAAACUGGGGAACUUGAGUACAGGAGAGGAGAGUGGAAUUCCUGGUGUAGCGGUGAAAUGCGUAGAUAUUAGGAGGAACACCAAUUGCGAAGGCAGCUUUCUGGACUGUAACUGACACUGAGGCACGAAAGCGUGGGGAGCAAACAGGAUUAGAUACCCGGGUAGUC